GACGAACGCUGGCGGCGUGCUUAACACAUGCAAGUCGAACGCUGAAGCUCAGCUUUUGUUGGGUGGAUGAGUGGCGAACGGGUGAGUAACACGUGAGUAACCUGCCCCCUUCUUUGGGAUAACGCCCGGAAACGGGUGCUAAUACUGGAUAUUCACUGGUCUUCGCAUGGGGGUUGGUGGAAAGGGUUUUUCUGGUGGGGGAUGGGCUCGCGGCCUAUCAGCUUGUUGGUGGGGUGAUGGCCUACCAAGGCUUUGACGGGUAGCCGGCCUGAGAGGGUGACCGGUCACAUUGUGACUGAGAUACGGCCCAGACUCCUACGGGAGGCAGCAGUGGGGAAUAUUGCACAAUGGGCGCAAGCCUGAUGCAGCGACGCCGCGUGAGGGAUGGAGGCCUUCGGGUUGUGAACCUCUUUCGCUCAUGGUCAAGCCGCAACAAUGGUUGUGGUGAGGGUAGUGGGUAAAGAAGCGCCGGCUAACUACGUG
rnacentral:rRNA from 1 species